ACCAACCUCUCCUCUUCCCUGUUCGUGAAGCCAAACUCCACCUGAAACAUGCAUCCCUUUCAACCCAGUUUGAGAAAUCUUCAGGAAAGAUUACAGCCUUGAAUCACCUCUGCUUGAUCAGUUCCUCCAACCUCAAGGUCUUAGGUGAUUCUCUGCCAAGUUCUCUUUGGAGCGUUCAUAAGCUGCUCCACCUGGAACCAAUCACCCUUAUCAGGGCUCCACAACUUUCCAGAUCAUGUCACAAACUCUUUAAUAAGCACUGCAGCCUUCACCUGUUAAGACAUCCUUGCAACUCCAUUGUUGAACAUCCCAUGUUCUUCUUUCUCCUUGAUGACUUCUUGUUCCCUCUUGACAAUGAAUCAUCCUCCGAUCUUUAACUGCUGGAGUUUUCUCCCUUUUGAGCCACCAGAGAUCCAAAAACAUGGAUUUCCUGAAUUUUCAUCACAUAACCUCCACCUGGAAUCAGAGUCUACAACUCAAUACAACUGAUU